GCCGGACUAUUUUUUUUCCAAGUGACGGUUGGCAAACCCACUCUUUCCGUCAGAGAAAAAAAAAGGAAAUGAACGGAUAACCCCCGUAAUUCUUGGAUCGAAAGCGGCGAGCAGUUUCGGCGGCGACGGAGAGAGGUGUCGGCGGCGAGCUUGCGGUAGCUGCUGGUCGACCCCUGAUGAGUGCGGCACUGGGGGUGGAAGGUUGGCCGGAGGCAGCACCGAGGCGAGCUGUGCGGCAGGAGGCUUCGCGGCGGGUGACGGCCUCGCCCGCCGGCGGCCGCGUCGCAGUCCGCAUCGAUCCCCAGCCCCCUUCGUUGCUCGUGGCGAUGGCUCGAACUUCAUCUCCGAGCACCCGAGAUCCCCUGCUUCCAAGCCUGGUCUCUCCACUCCUCCCUCUUGUCUCCUUUCCAUCCUCGCUCACCCUGAUCGAUGUGCUUAAUUGCCUUGCAGGAAGGUCAUCGACUCGUAAGUCUACAAGCUGUCCCACGGCUGCCUUCAUUUCCACCCAGGUUAACUAAUUUGCAUGCAUAUUUUAGGUUACUCAAGAUCAACUGAGUGCACUAGGCAUCCGUAGUUGCAAAACGAUUCUGGAUUUUUGCUUGGUAAAUUUUCUGGAAUUACUAAUUUGUGCAUGUAUCGGUCAGCAAUCAAAAUCAUUUGUUGAUCGAGAAGUCCAAAAAUAGCAAGAAAGGAUGCUCAACGGGACUUGGUCACGCCGAGAUAUCAGCAACAAUCGACACCGACAAAGCUCAAUUAUCUAUUGCAUAUUCAGAAGAAAGCAACUCCUGUCGACAAUCAAGGCACUAUGACAGGUAGCUCAAGCCUAAGAUGCAAACAUCUCAAGGAAUGGAGUUGCUGACGGUAUGCAAAGAACGAGACAAUGGUGAUGGUCAGGAUCGAUGUGUCAAGCAUCUGAGACAUAUCGACGUCAAGACAUGGAAGAGGGCUCUCUACCCUUAUAGAUAGGCCUUCUUACCAUGCUGCAUUACUAACCUGCACAAUUAAUGUGUAUCGAAAUUAACUUUGGGAGAACAUUAAGCAUGCAAACAUAGCUGUGGAGAAUCCUUGGAACAUCUUACCUGCAAUGUUAACUUAAACCUUCUGGAUCAGCAAAUGCUUCAUCCUUCUCUUCAAAUGUAAAUUCUACUGCCCAGAACAAACCAGUUAAAGAGUUACGGGAAGCUUGUCUUCUUGAGCAUUCUGAAAACCGGAGAGUAUC